UAAGCGGAGGAAAAGAAACUAACAAGGAUUCCCCUAGUAACUGCGAGUGAAGCGGGAAGAGCUCAAAUUUAAAAUCUGGCAGUCUCUGGCUGUCCGAGUUGUAAUUUAGAGAAGUGUUGCCCGUGCUGGACCGUAUACAAGUCCUCUGGAAUGGGGUGUCAUAGAGGGUGAGAAUCCCGUCUUUGAUACGGACUACCAGUACUUUUGUGGUGCGCUCUCAAAGAGUCGAGUUGUUUGGGAAUGCAGCUCAAAAUGGGUGGUAAAUUCCAUCUAAAGCUAAAUACAGGCGAGAGACCGAUAGCGAACAAGUACCGUGAGGGAAAGAUGAAAAGAACUUUGGAAAGAGAGUUAAACAGUACGUGAAAUUGCUGAAAGGGAAACGCUUGAAGUCAGUCGCGUUGUUCAAGAAUCAGCCUUGCUUUAUUGCUUGGUGUACUUUUUGUUCAACGGGUCAACAUCAGUUUUGACUCACUGGAUAAGGGUCAGGGAAAUGUGGCAUCUUCAGAUGUGUUAUAGUCUCUGGUCAUAUACAGUGGUUGGGACUGAGGAACUCAGCAUGCCGAAAGGACGGGUCCGUCAAAAGACUACGUUACAUGCUUAGGAUGUUGGCAUAAUGGCUUUAAUCGACCCGUCUU
rnacentral:misc_RNA from 1 species